rnacentral:rRNA from 1 species
UCGGGAAUUUUGGGCAAUGGGGGAAACCCUGACCCAGCAACGCCGCGUGAAGGAUGAAGUAUUUCGGUAUGUAAACUUCGAAAGAAUAGGAAGAAUUAAUGACGGUACUAUUUAUAAGGUCCGGCUAACUACGUGCCAGCAGCCGCGGUAAUACGUAGGGACCAAGCGUUGUUCGGAUUUACUGGGCGUAAAGGGCGCGUAGGCGGCGUGGUAAGUCACUUGUGAAAUCUCCGAGCUUAACUCGGAACGG